UGCCUAUUGGAUGUUGGUCAAUUUGGUCUUCUGCUUCGUUUCAGCCGCUGGAUCUUUGCUGUUCCUUUUCACUGCACGGUAAGCUCGCAUUGACCAAUGACUGGUGGGCUCUCGCAGUGUACUGGUUGGCUGGGUCAACCGUUACAAGGUGCGUGUACGCCCUCUCCCUGCAUGCCGCGUGCGUGUCGCGUCAUUUGCAGGAGAGCCUGCGGCAGCCGCGCAUGGUUUCCUUUCUUGCGUGCGCGCCUGUUUCUUUCGCUGAAGGUGGGCUCUGUUUUGGUCUGGUCCCAUUUGUUUGUCAUUCAUGCGUGGUGCGUUGCGUCUCGUCUGCAUCUGGAGAGAGAGGCAGGGCUGACCAAUGCAUGUGCGCGUGAGGCCUGGCAGAUGCAUCGUGUGCGACUUGUGCGUGCCUCACCUUCGUCUGCAGUUGCAGAGAGGAUGGGCUGGCAAAAUAUCUCGCGAGCCUGGCCGCCUCCAAUUUCUCUUCCCGCUCUCUAAUCUCUCUUGAUCUACUACCGCCGCCACCACCGCCUCCUCUUGGUUUCUGAUACUUCCACUCCGACGAAGAUCACCGUGCCGCUGGUUCUUAGAUCCCGGGAGAAGGGGAACAGUAGCCGCGCCAGGCGGCAUGCCUCGUCCGAGCCGCAUGGUGGCCAACACAUCGGCGGUUUCAUGGCCGAUUCUGGGCGGCACCUCGUCAGUGUCGUGGAUGGCUUCGGCAGCGCCUUGGCAUUCCAGAGGGGCGAAGUGGGACGGCCAGCAUGCGUGGGGCACAAAGGUCACGAGUAGGAGGGAGAUGCGCUGGAGGUGAUGGAGGAGGAAGUCGGAGGCGGCAUCAGCGUCCAUGGCGACGCCACCCCGGGAACCCUCCUACACACCUUGGCAUGGCUCGUCCGUGCCACAUGGUGGCCGAGAUGCUGGUACCUCCUCUCUCUGGCUUCUCUCUUAUUUGCCCCUUUGUCUCGGGGAUGAGGGCGUCGGUGCAUCAUCAUGAGUGGAUCAAGAGCAGACCGUAGCAGCAAGAGCAAGGAUCUGGUGGUGGUUCAUGAUAUUGUACUGCAUUACUAAAUGUUCUAGGGUUGGAGAGAGCUUAGGUAAGUGCUCAGGUUCUAUGUGGAUAACAAUAACAAAAAAAUAGAAAUCCAAAUCUCUAAAAAACUGACGGAAUCAUGUAUAUAUAUAUUUUCUAGAAUGUACUCUUUCUGAUUCCUAUUGUAAGAUGUUUCGUUUGUAUGCUAUUUUUUUCCUUUUGUAAUUUGUUUUCUUUCUUUGGUGCUGCUUGAAGUGAUAUUUUGAUAUUCAGUUUUUUUUUUUGAAAUUACAAGUCAGACGCUUUAUUUUUUAGUAUACAUAUUAACUGAUGCACAACUGAAUGCCAUUUUAUCCUGUUUGGCAUAAUGAUGGUAGUGAUUUGAAGCCAACCCAGAACUAUUAGUGAUUCUGACAAGUGGUGCUCUAAUAUUCAGUUGUUUUCUGAAAUUAAAUUUAGUUAGUUUUGAGUUUGAGUAAAAAAAUAGUACAAAAAAGUGGUGUUCUAAUAUAUUUUUGUGUUAGGAAAUUAGAAGUUAUUUCUUUUUAGUUGAAGCCCAUCCAAGUAGCAUUUUAUUGUUUCUGUAGGUCUACCCAGUAAUGUGAGUCAGUGUAUUGAUUUGCCAAUUCUUAAUCAGUAUAUAAAAAUUCUUGAGCUGAUGUGAUGCCUGCAAUGCUUUUUUGUCUCCGCUAUUUUCUUCCUUUAGUGUACAAACUGUUUUAUUCCGAGUUUCUGGCUUCUGUGUGCAUAGUAGGUUCAGAAUCAAUUUCUAAAAACACAAACUUUGCCAUGUUUUCUCGCCAUCAUCCACCUCCUGGUCCUUGUUCGUAACCCCACUGUACUUCCAGAGAAAUACAACUUAUUUAUUAGGUUUCUCAGUAUCUCAAAUAUGUAGUAUAGCUGCUAAUGCUUCUUCGUUUUGUUGUAUCAUUUCUGCAUAUGUAAUUUUAAUUGUCUGAGAGGGGGAAGAGGAGAAACGGCUGCGUCGGACGGUGCUCGUCAUGAUGUGCCUGUGAGUACCCUCCCCCUACCUUAGUUGUUGUUCUCCUUGUUUACCCCAUGAUGGCUGCUCCGCGCGGAUCUGCGCCUCCGUCCAUCGCAGGGAUAGGAGGGCUAGAGCAGUCACCGUCGAGCAGGGAGGCAGCUGGAGUUGUCCGUUAUUGAGGAAAGAAUGGCAGCUCGAGGAGACUUGAGGCAGCGGUGGCGGGGAGUGUGUGUGUGUGUGUGUGUGUGUGUGUGUGUGUGUGUGUGUGUGUGUGUGUGUGUGUUCAGAACAGAUGUGUUUUCAGAACUUAUUACUUUUGAUACACUGCCCCUUUAUGUUGAGCAGAUGCGGAUCAUAUUUAGAGAGAUUAAGAUACUCAAGACCAAGGAAUGCAUACUGAAGGCUGCCAAUGAUACCCUCAACAAAGGCCCUAACAAAUAAAUGGAAGAAUCUAUUGGGUGCUACUCUCACUGCUUAGCAAAGAGAAUGAAGGGUCAACAUUUACGGUCAUGCUGCCCACGCUUCGGAAAAAAAGGCAAAAAUGUUUUACGGCUCAAGCAUGGGAAGUAUAGACCAAAGAAUGUGGUUUACAGUUUCCCUAUUUUGUUGGAUCAACUAAUGUGUUGAUUUGUUACUUCAUGUCAGUGAUGUUUGUAAUCAAGAAUCAGGAAAGCAUACCAGUAUAUUGCAAUUCCAAAACUUAGAAAUAUGAGAAGGAUGCCCAAACCUACAGAUUUGUAAUUAACAUUUUGCACUACAUGUUGCCACUGGGUCAUUUUUCCA